CUCAGAGGUCCGCCCAGGGCGCCACGGGAGACUGCCCGCCUCGGAGAAGCAGAUUAAACAAAUAACCACGUAAAUUGUGCUGUUUGUAAAUAAGCAAGCAACUGAGCUAAUCCUGUUGCUCUCAUCCAGGAAGUCAAAUGUUCACAUUCUCAUUUUGAGAAACUGCAGCCAACCCUACCCCUCACCCCCAAUUCACCUGACAGCUCCUUGUGCAGGCUUUGCAAACUUUUCCAACCCACCCAAGAAACACAGAGCUCUGCUUUGAAGAAGGCUUGCUCCCUCACAGCCCAUGGAAACUGAUAAACCCUUGUAAAGCUGGAAGCCGAAGCAGAGGCAUCUGCAAUCCUGGCACAUCUUCAGCAAGAAGGCAGCCACAAACAGGAGAACCCUAAAGCCCUUAGGCCAGUCAGCCUGGUGUCCAGAGCGGAGGAACAAGGGAUAUCCUGCCUCAAGACAAAGUGGAAAACAAGGGUUGACAUUUCAGGUUGUCCUCUGAUCUUCACAUGUAUGUCAUGUA